rnacentral:rRNA from 1 species
UACGUAGGGUGCAAGCGUUAUCCGGAAUUAUUGGGCGUAAAGAGCUCGUAGGCGGUCUGUUGCGUCGGCUGUGAAAACCCGGGGCUCAACCCCGGGCCUGCAGCCGAUACGGGCAGACUAGAGUUCGGCAGGGGAGACUGGAAUUCCUGGUGUAGCGGUGAAAUGCGCAGAUAUCAGGAGGAACACCGGUGGCGAAGGCGGUUCUCUGGGCAUGUCCUGACGCUGAUGCGCGAAAGCUAGGGGAGCGAACGGG